ensembl:snRNA U2 U2 spliceosomal RNA
AUCGCUUCUCGGCCUUUUGGCUAAGAUCAAGUGUAGUAAAAGUAAAUAUGGUAAAGCCCCAGGAAAAGGGGAUAAAACACAUUUCUUGCUUUAUUUUAGAUUGGGUUUGAUCACAUUUUUUGUGUAUGUAAUUAGAUGAAUUCAACUGCCUCCAUUGCUAGAAUCUCAGUCUUU